CCUAAUAACGCUUUCUUCCUUGAUUCUUCCAAUUUCAUUCAAUUAUACCACUAAUUAUUGCUGCAACUGAAACUGGCUUUACAAUGAAUAGGAAGUGGGUUCCUUUCUUCAAAAUGUUGAAAAUUAAUGAUUCAAUUUCAUCCUUUUGUCUUCAUUCUACUUCCCAAUGUGAACUAUUUGGAACUAAUGUUCAUCUGGACACGUGCUUUCAUGUCAUCUUGCAUGCCACCCCCACAAUCAAUCCCUUUUCAUACAAUCUUUUCCUUGCUCUUGCCAAAAUAUUUCAAGUUUCCAUUGUUGUGAAAUCCUACAAUGGCAAAUCAGUGAGCUUUCCUUCUCUCUUGUACAAGAGUUUCCUCCCUGUUCAGAGUUGAAAUUUGGAGUAUGAAGGGGAGCUAAGCCGAUGGUAUGUGAAGGAAAUUAAGAAGAAGCUAAAACAUGAAUGGGUGUUCAUUAACGAUGGAAGAAACAAACAUGUUGUGGGCUUCAACAUGAUUGAGGACCGCCAUAGGCUUACUAAGGGUUGGUAUCAAUUGAGGGUAUUUUAGAGCUUAGAAAAAAACUGUACUUUUUGGCUGCAUGAAGUUGGAGAUUAUAUUUUCCACAUCUCAAUUCUUAAUCAGGACAAGAAAGAGAUCCAAGUUCCUGGAGGUCCUCCUCCACGUAAUCUAGACAUAGCCUCUUCCAACAUCUGCUGCUACAUAUAUUAAAGAUGUUGGGGUCGAUAGCUGGAUUUUCAUUGGUCCCUCCCAAUUUCAAGGGGAAUAUCGUAUGCAUAUCCUUCUUAAUUCUGUAGUUGCAAAGAUGGGCAGCAGCUGGAGACAGUUCUGCAAUGUUAAUAACAUUUUCCCUACGGACCAGCUCAGAUUCGAUUUUUCAAUGACAUGUAUCAAAUUGCUCAUGUUGAUAGAAUGGAGCCUAUUUGAUGAAGGAUGGAUUUAGGAGGGUCUUUGUGAUGAAGUGUUUGAUUUCUGGAAUGUUAUCAGGCUUUCUAUUGUUGUUUGUAUUCCCGGGUUGUUUAAUUGUUGGUUGUUAAUUAGCUCCAGUGAUGAAUGUGUGUAAUUUAUCUUUGAAUUAUCAAACAAUUAAGUGUUUGCAUUAUGGUAUGAAG